UAAGACGGAAGGUGCAAGCGUUGCUCGGAAUCACUGGGCGUAAAGGGUGCGUAGGCGGCUUGGUGGGUCUGGUGUGAAAGCCCCGGGCUCAGCCCGGGAAGGGCACUAGAAACUGCCGAGCUGGAGUGCCGGAGGGGAGAGUGGAAUUCCUGGUGUAGCGGUGAAAUGCGUAGAUAUCAGGAGGAAUACCGGUGGCGAAAGCGACUCUCUGGACGGCAACUGACGCUGAGGCACGAAAGCGUGGGGAGCAAACAGGAUUAGAUACCCUGGUAGUCCA
rnacentral:rRNA from 1 species